CCUGGGGACAUGGCUCAGCAGUUAAGCACCCUGGGAUUAAUCCCUAGUACCAAAAAAAAAAAAAAAUCAGGAAAAGCUUAAAUAAUUUUGAAUAACUAUAUGGUGAGUUAUCAGUGUCCACAAAUCUUUCUUGUCCCCUUUAUCUGCCUUUUAACCUAGGGUUUAGACUUACCACAUCCUGAGUAUGUUCUAGCUGAAGUAAUGACUUGAAUACUGAGCCACAGCGUCCCUGGCUAUUGGACAGGUAGCAGCAGCUGCCUCCUUUUGAGGCUCUUGAAUGAAGCGGUGCGAUGUGCUUAGAGGACUUGACUCAGGUUCCCAAGCCAUGCUUUCUGAGAAACCUCAGUUCAUAUGGUUGAAUAUCUCAGCUGAGUUCUGAGUGGCACCUGCCUUGCUUUUGAUGUGAUACUGAGCCACCGGUAGCUAAGCAUUUCUGAGCACUGCCUAUAUACAGAGCACAUUUGUAGGCUUCCAGCAGAUAAAAAUAACUAGGUACCAUGAAGUUGUAGUUAUUGAUGUGAUAUUUUAACUUCUAGUUUUAAGUAGUUUUUUAAAGUAUUCUGGGUCUCAAGAUGAUAACACCAUUGUAGUACAUAGAAAAAGACAGGUGACACUGUCCUGAUGUAGCUAAAUAUUCCGAGUGAUAUAGUCCACAGACUAGUCCUACUCAUAUAGCUAUAGUGAGCAGCACAGGUAUUUUUCUCAAGCACCUUAAAUGAGACUCUAGACUUGUCACAGAAUGUACAGUAGUGGGAUGUAGAAUACAGGAACAGAUUAUUGAAUGCUGAACCAGGAAAAAAGUACGGGCUUUAUACUGACGGAAGUGAACCCCAUGUUUCCCCAGUGUGGGCUGGGUGGGGGUUUGAAAGGGAUCUUGCUUACUGGGAAUUGAUAAGAUCUACUUGCCAUUAGGGCAAGGCAAAGGUCAGGGUCUCCAAGACCGCCAAAGAACCACUGCAGGGACUUGCUGCAUGAGGAAUGUUAGGAUUAUUUGGGGGCAGUUUGCAGGGGAAGCAUAUCCCAGAGACAAGGGUGUCAUUCCAGGUAUAUGGAUUUAGUAGUAGAAAGGCAAAGCUGGAGAUCCACAGGAGGACCGAGGAGAAAUGUCUCACUUGUGUUUGGGGUGUUCAAGACAUUUUCUUGUCUCAAGUAGCAGCUUAUUCAAUCUUUAAAACUGGCUAACUUGAAUCUCCAGGGAUGGUUUUGAAGAAAAAUAUCAUUUCUAAAAAUCAGACGCAAGUGUUAAGUACACAUCAGCCUAGACAAUGCCCCAAGCUUUGGUCUCCUCACCUAUAAAAUAGAGACAACUAGAACACUUACCUGAUAGGGCUGUGAGGAUUAGCUCACAGAAACUACAUACAGCCUGGCCUGUUACACCUUCUAAGCAUUCAGUGAACCUCAGCAAGUAUGAGACUCCAGAAGAUGAGAACCAAUGGCAACCCAAAGGAACUGGAAGUUACAUUAGGAAAACAUCCUUGCUGACAUGUGAGCUUCAGGGGAGUAAAAAGGAAGACAGACUGUGAAGGCCUUCAACCUCAGCCCAGUACGGAAAUGAAAGCAACUGAAAAGUCCCAGCCUCCUUGAUUUAGUGUUUGAUUAGUGACUGAUCACAGAGGCUACUGAGAUCCACCUGAUCAGUAAGACAGCUUUGGUAGCUCAAGUGUGGCAUUUGGAUUUAUUACAGAUAAUAAUUUCAAGUACAGGUGAGCAUUUUAGGUGUUUUGUCAGUUAAAUGAACUGUAAGUAUGUUGCAGUCCAAUAAAGCAUUAGUUAAUUUUGUAAUCAAAAAGCUGAAUCUAAAAGUUUUUAUAAUAAAAUUGGGAAAUAGAAUAUUAGCUAAACUCAGGAAAAACUUUAGAGCUAAGAAAAAUGACUAAGAAUUUAAGGAUGCAAGGAAUACAAAAUACUGGAAAUGAAUCUGGCAACAAUUUUUUUAAAAUAUUUUUUAGUUCUCAGUGGGCUUUUUUAUUUUAUUUAUUUAUUUAUAUGUGGUGCUGAGAAUCAAACUUGGCCUCACACAUGCUAGGCAAGUGCUCUGCCACUGAGCCACAACUGCAGCCCAUGUGGCAACAAUUUUUAAGUGCUUCUGGAAACAGCUUCUUGAGGCACUGCACAAAACUUUCAAGUCUAGGGCUUGAAAACAAGUCAUUUAUCUUUGUUGAUAGAACAUUCAAUUUGGUAGCACCAGUCAAAAAAAACAUGUUCUUCUGUCACCUUCAGGUAAAAACAUCUAUGUAGAUUCAAUGUGCAGAUACCACAAGAGUUAGUGAAUGAAGCCUCUGAUGAGGAUCAGGAAGUUAUCAUUUUCCUUUGGAAAAUUCUAACCAUUCUUAUAGUUAAGUUGUAACCCAAAUUUGGGGGCUAGAAUUUUCAAAUUCGUUCUUAUAUUCCAACCAACCAGUUGUCAGUGAAAUUCAGCUGUGUCCAGAUACUAAUUUCAGUCCUCAUUUAAUCAAGAUGUGUAUGGUGUGCCAUUUCAAAAAACAUUCCUUUGUCUUUUAGCUGCCUAAUUAGCACAGUUGCAAGUACGGUGUCUCCCAGCAAGGACCCACCCACGUGCCAGUUGUUCAGGGCUGGCGAACAAGAGAACAGUGAACCAGUCAUUAUGUUCUUGGACAGACUGGCUGCUCGACCUUUCCAGCAACACUGGCAAGUUAGGUGGAGUCCUUCAAACAGACCUGUAUUCAGAGGCCCUGUGUAUACAAUGAAUAAAGAUAAGGCAGCUCUGUUUAGAAGCAGGGGCCGGGGGCUCAUCCCCCAACAGCUUCCACCCCACCAGCUGAAACUUCUAUUACUCCAAGAGGGAUGGGGCUGCCACUCAUUUGCCUGUGUUUGUACCAGAGCUGGUCAGAUGUCAGUUUGGCUUUCUCACUGAGCCCUCCCACUUCGGGGAUGCAUUGCCCAAGACUGAAGGAGCUCAAGAACUCAGUCACCUUCAGAGCUGCUGAGCUGCUGUUCGUUUCUUGGCAUCAUAUUAGGUGACUCAGCUUAGGAAAACCUUCUGCAAAUUUGACAAGGCACCCUUCAGGAGGCCAGGGCUUUUCAUGAAGGGGCUUCCAGUGUGCCCUACCUUUUGGCUGUGUGUAAAUUAAUUAUAUUUUAAUAUGUGUGUAUAUAUAUGAUAUUUUAUGUGCUAUAUAUUUUAUGUACUGUAUUUUUUGUGUCUUUUAAAAAAUACUUUAUGCAAAAGAAUAAAACACCCACAUACCCACUACCUGGGUUAUGAAAUGGAAUAUUA